rnacentral:rRNA from 1 species
GGUCGUGGGUCUCGGUCCGCCCCUCGCGGGGUGUUGUGCCAGGGACCUGCAGCCAUCCUCGGGGAGAGCAUGCCUGGCAUUUAGUUGUCGGGUAUGGGAUCCUCGUCAUUUACUGUGAGCAAAAUAGAGUGUUCAAAGCAGGCUUAGGCCGUUGAAUACAUUAGCAUGGAAUAAUAAGAUAGGACCUUGGUCUAUUUUGUUGGUUUGCAUUCCAAGGUA